rnacentral:rRNA from 1 species
UACAGAGGGUGCAAGCGUUGUUCGGAAUUAUUGGGCGUAAAGGGCGCGUAGGCGGCGUCGUGUGUCGGGUGUGAAAGCCCACCUCUUAAAGGUGGAAUUGCAUUCGAAACUACGGCGCUAGAGUACCGGAGAGGAUGGUGGAAUUCCUGGUGUAGAGGUGAAAUUCGUAGAUAUCAGGAGGAACACCGGUGGCGAAGGCGGCCAUCUGGACGGAUACUGACGCUGAGGCGCGAAAGCACGGGGAGCAAACAGG